CACAUAUUGGCAGGAGAGACCCUCAGGGGAGCCGAAGGGGAAAACCCUUUCAGAAGAAGGGUGAAACUCUCAGGCAAAAGGACUGCCGGAGAUAA
rnacentral:ncRNA from 2 species